rnacentral:rRNA from 1 species
GACGGGACCGCACAAGCGGUGGAUGAUGUGGUUUAAUUCGAUGCAACGCGAAAACCUUACCCACCUUGACAUGUACGGAAGCCUUUAGAGAUAGAGGCGUGCUCGAAAGAGAGCCGUAACACAGGUGCUGCAUGGCUGUCGUCAGCUCGUGUCGUGAGAUGUUGGGUUAAGUCCCGCAACGAGCGCAACCCUUGUCAUUAGUUGCUACAUUCAGUUGGGCACUCUAAUGAGACUGCCGGUGACAAGCCGGAGGAAGGUGGGGAUGACGUCAAGUCCUCAUGGCCCUUAUAGGUGGGGCUACACACGUCAUACAAUGGCUGGUACAAAGGGUUGCCAACCCGCGAGGGGGAGCUAAUCCCAUAAAGCCAGUCGUAGUCCGGAUCGUAGUCUGCAACUCGACUACGUGAAGUCGGAAUCGCUAGUAAUCGUGGAUCAGAAUGUCACGGUGAAUACGUUCCCGGGUCUU